GGAUUGAUGAUGAAAACAGUUCUCUGAAUAUGGUGAAUUACUCAUAGAAAUGGCAAUCAGAGAUCC